UACGUAGGUGACCAGCGUUGUCCGGAUUUACUGGGCGUAAAGAGCGCGCAGGCGGUCGUUCAAGUCGAGUGUGAAAGCCCCCGGCUCAACUGGGGAGGGUCACUCGAUACUGAUCGACUUGAAGGCAGGAGAGGGAAGCGGAAUUCCCGGUGUAGUGGUGAAAUGCGUAGAUAUCGGGAGGAACACCAGUGGCGAGGCGACUACCUGGCCUGUUCUUGACGCUGAGGCGCGAAAGCUAGGGGAGCAAACGGG
rnacentral:rRNA from 1 species